GCGCGCUCGGCCGGUUCCUCCAGUUCUUUUCGUUUGCCCAACGCCACCAGCACACACAGACACACCAAGAUUAUAUAGUGUGUAUAUAGCUCGGAGAAAAGAAUGGAAACGAAGAGAUAGAAACAAGCCCAGUGGCGUUGGCAGCCCCCCCCUCUCUUCUGGUAUAUAUAUAUAUAUACUCGUAUAUAGUAGCAACGGCACAGCUUCUGGGUGAUGGCCAAAGAGGAGGAAGGCACACCGCGCUUUCUUAGAGGAUUCCGAAAUAGUGUGUACAUGACUAUACAGUUCAGACAUCGUGGAACAUCCACACGACAGCACGGCCCCCCGAGUUGGAACAAGCAGCCAACCGGCUUCUUUUGUUGCUUGCAGCACUGGAAGCCGAUGCUCCUCCUACUCGUCUUCUUGCAACCUCCUCUCUGUGUCUCACGUUUUAUUACCUCCCUUUUUUUUUUUUUUUAUUCUUUUUCAUCUCUCCCCUUUGCGUCAACAACAUGGAACUUUUUGCUCGCCUCCCCAUCAUUUCCGGAUCAUCACUGAUUUUGCACACGUGCCACUAUUCUCUGCCAAUGUCCACAGCUUUGUUCGAUUUCGGUUAUGUGAAUAAAGGUGAAACGUUCUCUUGUUUGUGUACGCAAAAAAUCGAAUUUGAAUAAACGUCCCAAGAUUCGCCA